UACGGAGGGUGCGAGCGUUGUCCGGAAUCACUGGGCUUAAAGGGCGCGUAGGCGGGCGGUCAAGUCAGAGGUGAAAUCCCACGGCUCAACCGUGGAAGUGCCCCUGAUACUGAUCGUCUCGAGGGAGGUAGGGGCGUGCGGAACUUCCGGUGGAGCGGUGAAAUGCGUAGAUAUCGGAAGGAACACCGAUGGCGAAAGCAGCGCGCUGGACCUCUACUGACGCUGAGGCGCGAAAGCCAGGGGAGCAAACGGG
rnacentral:rRNA from 1 species